CUGCAAUGCUCUACUUUCCGGCUACCCGGAUAAAGCACUAAAUAAACUUCAGUUAGUGUUAAAUACGGCUGCUAGAAUCCUGACUACAACCAAAAAAUGUGCCUCCCUUCACUGGCUUCCUGUUAAGGCAAGGGCUGAUUUCAAGGUUUUACUGCUAACCUACAAAGCAUUACAUGAGCUUGCUCCUAACGAUCUUUCCGAUUUGGUUCUGCCGUACAUACCUACACGUACGCUACGGUCACAAGACGCAGGCCUCCUAAUUGUCCCUAGAAUUUCUAAGCAAACAGCUGGAGGCAGGGCUUUCUCCUAUAGAGCUCCAUUUUAUGGAAUGGAAUGCCUACCCAUGUGAGAGACGCAGACUCGGUCUCAACCUUUGUCUUUACUAAAGACUCAUCUUUUCAGUGGGUCAUAUGAUUGAGUGUAGUCUGGCCCAGGAGUGUGAAGGUGAACGGAAAGGCUCUGGAGCAACGAACCACCCUUGCUGUCUCUGCCUGGCCGGUUCCCCUCUCUCCACUGGGAUUCUCUGCCUCUAACCCUAUUACAGGGGCUGAGUCAUUGGCUUACUGGUGGUCUUUUAUGCCGUCCCUAGGAAGGGUGCGUCACUUGAGUGGGUUGAGUCACUGACGUGAUCUUCCUGUCUGGGUUGGCACCCCGGCGGAGAUCUUUGUGGGCUAUACUCGGCCUUGUCUCAGGAUGGACCUAUGCCGUAGGACCAUGCCUCAUACCUGGCAUGAUAACUCCUUGCUGUCCCCAAUCCAGCUGGCCGUGCUGCUGCUCCAGUUUCAACUGUUCUGCCUGCGGCUAUGGAACCUUGACCUGUUCAGCGGACGUGCUACCUGUCCCAGACCUGCUGUUUUCAACUCUCUAGAGACAGCAGGAGCGGUAGAGAUACUCUUAAUGAUUGGCUAUGAAAAGCCAACUGACAUUUACUCCUGAGGUGCUGACUUGUUGCACCCUCGACAACUACUGUGAUUAUUAUUAUUUGACCAUGCUGGUCAUUUAUGAACAUUUUAACAUGGCCAUGUUUGGCCAUGUUCUGUUAUAAUCUCCAACCAGCACAGCCAGAAGAGGACUGGCCACAUAGCCUGGUUCCUCUAGGUUCCUUCCUAGGUUUUGGCCUUUCUAGGGAGUUUUUCCUAGCCACCGUGCUUCUACACCUGCAUUGCUUGCUGUUUGGGGUUUUAGGCUGGGUUUCUGUACAGCAGUUUGAGAUAUCAGCUGAUGUAAGAAGGGCUAUAUAAAUCAAUUUGAUUUGACUGUUGGUUACGGGCUUGUAAGUAAGCAUUUCACAGUAAGGUUUACAAUUGCUGUAUUCGGUGCAUGUGACAAAUAAAGUUUUAUUUUGA